CCCAGUUCACUCCAAUGGCGGGUUCUGCGGCCGGGAACGAGGACGAGAGCACCAGGAGGAGCGAAAAUGUUGCAACUUUCGUCCUGGGUUGCAGCAUUUCCGGGUUUCAAGAUUGGUCAUCCAGGUGAGAGACGGGAUUCUUGAUUGGAUAGACGAUAUAAAGGAGUGAUUUUUAGUGCUCUGCAGGGGCAAGGCGGCGGGGGGAUGGUUCAGAUUGAAGCUGCCAAGGAGCAGCAGAGUGUGCAACCGUUCUUACAAAAAAGAAAAAGCUGCUGAAGAACCUACCAGCGACGGAGAUCUUUCUUGGGUCAUUUCUUGAAUUCUUUUAAGCUGCUAAUUAGUGCGUGGCGAGUGGACAUGAUCAGUCCCUCCGUAAUCUUGCUGGGGCCACUCUUCUUUCUUUGCACAUUUUCAAGAGCACAGGAAAG
rnacentral:lncRNA from 1 species